CAACCUGUAAACAUGUCAGUGGCGUCACAAUGUUGCACAACAGCAGCAGAACAUUGGAUGGAGGGUCAUUGUAUCAUUACACAGUGUCACUGUCUAUUCUACUGUAUUGGUACAUGUGGUAUUACAAUACAUUAGAAGAUCUGUAGAUGGCAGCAUUGAAACAAUUUACAACACAUCGUCAACUAGCAACCUACUCUGUUUCAGUGCUGUUUAAAUAUCCCACUUAUUUUAUUCUGCUGUUAGAGGCCAUCAGUAGAGACAGUCAGGAAAAUAGUCUUUGUAGCAAGUUUUUUUCUGUCAAACCUGGGAAGUGUGUCUAUAUAGCACCAUACGUUCUUCAGAAGCUGGACAGCAUAUGAAUAGAAUCCAUCUUCUCUCACCUUCUCCCCUCAAGACCAACAUCACACAAGAUGCUUCAGAACAACAACAACAACAACAAGCUGGUGAAGUUGCUACCCAACAGGAACAACCAAUAUGUUUAAGUUCUAUAGUCUACCAAGUGUUAAUGUCAUUGUAGAGGGUGGGUCCCAAAGACCCUCCCCAUUAGUGAUUAAGGGGACUUGAAGAUUCAUAUGUUUUGCUGCAGGCCUUAUAAUAGAUACUGUUUCUAUGUGUCUAAAACUCUGCCACUAUACGUUGUACAAGCAUCUAUAUUAGUCUUUGUGGUUAGGCCCUGGCUGAUGUGAGAGUGGGCUUGCAGGCUGGGUCUGAGUCUAUAUUAGUCUUUGUGGUUAGGCCCUGGCUGUUGUGAGAGUGGGCUUGCAGGCUGGGUCUGAGUCUAUAUUAGUCUUUGUGGUUAGGCCCUGGCUCAUGUGAGAGUGGGCUUGCAGGCUGGGUCUGAGUCUAUAUUAGUCUUUGUGGUUAGGCCCUGGCUGAUGUGAGAGUGUGCUUGCAGGCUGGGUCUGAGUCUAUAUUAGUCUUUGUGGUUAAGCCCUGGCUGUUGUGAGAGUGGCCUUGCAGGCUGGGUCUGAGUCUAUAUUAGUCUUUGUGGUUAAGCCCUGGCUGUUGUGAGAGUGGCCUUGCAGGCUGGGUCUGAGUCUAUAUUAGUCUUUGUGGUUAAGCCCUGGCUGUUGUGAGAGUGGGCUUGCAGGCUGGGUCUGAGUCUAUAUUAGUCUUUGUGGUUAAGCCCUGGCUGUUGUGAGAGUGGGCUUGCAGGCUGGGUCUGAGUCUAUAUUAGUCUUUGUGGUUAAGCCCUGGCUCAUGUGAGAGUGGGCUUGCAGGCUGGGUCUGAGUCUAUAUUAGUCUUUGUGGUUAAGCCCUGGCUGUUGUGAGAGUGGGCUUGCAGGCUGGGUCUGAGUCUAUAUUAGUCUUUGUGGUUAGGCCCUGGCUGUUGUGAGAGUGGGCUUGCAGGCUGGGUCUGAGUCAGACUGAAACUAGAUAAAGAGAAGUAACCACUGUCUGGUUUUGACAUGUUGAUAUUGUGUGGUAGUGGACAAUGCUAAUGAAUUCAGAGGAGAUACUGUACCAGGUUACUUUAUAAGGUAACCUCAGCUUAUUGAUACACACAUACAUUGACGUAGGUGAUUAUACCACCAGGUAGUGACCACAUGUAUAUAAUCAGCUGUGCCCUUAGGUGGGUUGCAGAACUUACUCUGAAACAUACAUGCUGUGUUCCCGUUGUCAACUUCUGUCUGCAACCACAUUAAUAAAUGAAUGAUUGAUUUACUUAAA